CCACCCCCUCUGCCGGCGGCGCGACUUCCCCAGAUCCUCCGACGGCGCGACCUCCCCAGACCUCCGGUGGCGCGGCCUCCUAGAUCCUCGCCGCCGCGCCCAAGCUUGGGCGCCGACCUAGCAGCCCCGUGCGCCGCCCUGCCACUUCCCUGCACCGCCGCCUACGCACAACCGCCAUCGCGACCCACCUCCCCGCACCGCCACCUUCCCACCACCGCCGCCACCGGGAUCCACGCACCUCCACGCGUCGCCGGUGCCUGUGCUCGUGGGCGUGCCCGCGUUCUUCCCCGUUGACGAGAUCGAGCGAGUGCCUCCGGUUCCUCUGCCAAGUCUCCUCCCCCACGCGAUGUAGGCCUCCCCGAGGCGCCGCGCGCCAGAAACCCACGGCUGUGUCUCCCGCCCUCCGGCUCUUCCUGACUUCCCCCGGCGAGGCUCCACAGCCACCGCACCGCCUCAUCCCGGUGGGGCUCUUCCACCGUGGUGCCUAGGCCAUUCAAUGACAAAGCCCAGUUGAUGUAGACCGCGUCAUCUUAAAGGAAAACCAGUGACAAUCUGUCGAGUGAAACCGGUGCACUGUCAAGCAAACAUACCUGUGCAGCUGACAAUUUGGCCGGCGGCAGCAACAUUUCUUGGCACGUGGGUGUUGGUUUUGGCGGACAAGCAAGUAGCAACAAGCAGCUGCAGGCAAAAGGUGUUUGAUUGGCUCCUCUGACUCCCUUCGCCAUGCCACUCACCUCGCGUCGCUGGACCACCACGGUCACAGGCAGAAUCCUUUCGUUCAGUAUCCAGCGCAAGCAAAUCUAAAUCUGCAUACGCAAGCCUUCCGUUGCCGAGUCGGCCCUCCUUCUGCUGACUGCUUCUGCAGUAGCAAGUCACGCCACCUGCACCUGUUAUCACCACAAGACGUUCUACUACACCUAUAUGUUCUACUACAACUAAACGCCGGUGGUGGUGAAGUUCUACUAUGGCUAUACGCUACGUUCUACUACAGUUGUAUGUCAGCGACCAUGAAAAUUCUACUACAGAUGUACGCCAAGUUGUACUACAGUUAUACACCAGCCGUCACUGUUGGAAAUAUGCCCUAGAGGCAAUAAUAAAUGGUUAUUAUUAUA